AUUGAACGCUGGCGGCAUGCUUUACACAUGCAAGUCGAACGGCAGCGCGGGCUUCGGCCUGGCGGCGAGUGGCGAACGGGUGAGUAAUGCAUCGGAACGUGCCCAGUAGUGGGGGAUAGCCCGGCGAAAGCCGGAUUAAUACCGCAUACGACCUGAGGGUGAAAGCGGGGGACCGAAAGGCCUCGCGCUAUUGGAGCGGCCGAUGUCGGAUUAGCUAGUUGGUGGGGUAAAGGCUUACCAAGGCGACGAUCCGUAGCUGGUCUGAGAGGACGACCAGCCACACUGGGACUGGGACACGGCCCGGAAUGCGACGGGAGGCAGCAGGGGGGAACGUUGGAAAGUGGGGGCCGCCGUGACCCGCCGGUGCGGGGUGGGGUAAGAAGGCCUUGGGGGGGUACACGGCUUGUGUUGGGGAAGCAUUCAUGGGGGCAACUACCGCGGGGGGAUGAGGGAACAGGAAAAAUAAGCACCGGAAAAGCGCGGGCAAGCAGAGCAGGGAAUGAGCGCACAGCACACGCCUGAUG
rnacentral:rRNA from 1 species